rnacentral:ncRNA from 2 species
CGCGUCUUGUCGGGGUGCCUAGUUGUAGGCUGAGAUCGGUGCAUACCGGAGCCCGUUGAACCUGAUCGGGUUAAUCCCCGCGGAGGAAACAAGCACCGCCUGCCG